UAAAGCAUUUAUAAUUUUGUUGGAUAUAGCUAUUUUAUUGAAUUCUAGAAUAUUUUAGUACAUGAUAUGACACUACAAGGGCACAGAAAUCCAACUAAUCCAAGCUAUGUGCACUUUCAGCACAUAAAAGAAAUCUAAUCCUGUUUAGGGAUGAAGUUUUGAGCCCCUGGUGUCAUUUCAGGGAUAUACAAUGAAUCCCUGUCCUGUGUUUUCAGUACCUUUUAGAAAUUCAUCUUAGUCAUUCCAAAAGGAUUGUUGUCCUAAGCUAGUCUGCAUCCUCAUGGAGACCAUUACCUUCCUUCUCUGCUAUAGCCUCCUCCUAAGACCAGAAUGGAAGAAACCUGACUCUGGAGCUUGACCAGAUUGGUCUUGACAAUCAAAGGAAUCAGAAAUGAAAACACGUUGAUGGCAAGGUUCCUGGCCAAACCGAAAGAGCAAUCAAAUUCCCUCGGACUCGGUUGGCAUUCCCCCAUAUUCUUAUGCCUGUU